GACUGUUAGCACGCCCCCUGACAAGGAUGGAAGAGGUCCUAUUGGCCUUCAACACACAUAUGGUUAAGGUUUUGCCACCUACUUAAUGCUAUCUCUAACCACAUUUUUUA